AUUCGGUUACCGGUAAGUAACUCGGAAUGCCGAAAAAUAACGUGAAUUUAUAAAUCUUCUUAACGGCAAAGCGUAUCCAGAGGGGUUAUAUAGUGUGGUUUUAUUUCACAUAUUCGAUUAGGUUACACGAUGAUGAAUGCACAGCAUUAUGACAACUGGGCUGUGAUCGUCUUCUCAAUUAGGAUUAGGUGUUAGGUUAGUUAGGUAGGUUAGGCUUAAUUAGUGUUUAAAGAUCCUACAGCCCAGUGCAAUGAUUACUUGUAUCUGAGUGCGACCUACAACAAGCGAAUAUAUUGGUCUUCUCUUGACCAUCGUUC